UGGGGAAUAUUGCGCAAUGGGCGAAAGCCUGACGCAGCGACGCCGCGUGGGGGAUGACGGCCUCGGGUUGUAAACCUCUUUCGACCGGGACGAAGCGAGAGUGACGGUACCGGUAAAAGAAGCACCGGCCAACUACGUGCCAGCAGCCGCGGUAACACGUAGGGUGCGAGCGUUGUCCGGAAUUAUUGGGCGUAAAGAGCUCGUAGGCGGUGUGUCGCGUCGGCCGUGAAAACUUACAGCUUAACUGUGAGCGUGCGGUCGAUACGGGCAUCACUUGAGUUCGGCAGGGGAGACUGGAAUUCCUGGUGUAGCGGUGAAAUGCGCAGAUAUCAGGAGGAACACCGGUGGCGAAGGCGGGUCUCUGGGCCGAUACUGACGCUGAGGAGCGAAAGCGUGGGGAGCGAACAGGAUUAGAUACCCCAGUA
rnacentral:rRNA from 1 species